UGGGGAAUAUUGGACAAUGGGGGCAACCCUGAUCCAGCAAUGCCGCGUGUGUGAAGAAGGCCUGAGGGUUGUAAAGCACUUUCAGUGGGGAGGAGGGUCGUUAGGUUAAGAGCUAGAUGACUGGACGUUACCCACAGAAGAAGCACCGGCUAACUCCGUGCCAGCAGCCGCGGUAAUACGGAGGGUGCAAGCGUUAAUCGGAAUUACUGGGCGUAAAGGGUGCGUAGGUGGUUGAUUAAGUUAUCUGUGAAAUCCCUGGGCUUAACCUGGGCAGGUCAGAUAAGACUGGUUGACUCGAGUAUGGGAGAGGGUAGUGGAAUUUCCGGUGUAGCGGUGAAAUGCGUAGAGAUCGGAAGGAACACCAGUGGCGAAGGCGGCUACCUGGCCUAAUACUGACACUGAGGCACGAAAGCGUGGGGAGCAAACAGGAUUAGAUACCCAAGUAGUCCCUGAGCGGGCUGGCAAGGCGCAU
rnacentral:rRNA from 1 species